rnacentral:rRNA from 1 species
UGGGGAAUUUUGGACAAUGGUGGCAACCCUGAUCCAGCAAUGCCGCGUGUGUGAAGAAGGCCUUCGGGUUGUAACGCACUUUUGUCCGGGAAGCAAUCGCACCUGAUAAUACCGGGUGUGGAUGACGGUACCGGAAGAAUAAGGACCGGCUAACUACGUGCCAGCCGCCGCGGUAAUACGUAGGGUCCAAGCGUUAAUCGGAAUUACUGGGCGUAAAGCGUGCGCAGGCGGUUGUGCAAGACCGAUGUGAAAUCCCCGGGCUUAACCUGGGAAUUGCAUUGGUGACUGCACGGCUAGAGUGUGUCAGAGGGGGGUAGAAUUCCACGUGUAGCAGUGAAAUGCGUAGAGAUGUGGAGGAAUACCGAUGGCGAAGGCAGCCCCCUGGGAUAACACUGACGCUCAUGCACGAAAGCGUGGGGAGCAAACAGG